AAUUCACUUCUUAUUCUAUUUCGUACAAGUCAGACGUCAGUGUCGGCGGUGUCAGUGUCUCGUGGUGUACUCUCGGAAAAUCUCGUUGCUUUACCUUCUUCUCCGUCAAUUUCUAUAUCUCUCACUACCACCCACAGUUCACAUACAUACACACACACACAUACACAUAUACCAACAUCCUUCAUUUUAUUUCGUCGGUCGUCUGCUAAAUAAUUUUUUGGAAGAGGGCAUUCGUAAAUUUUUUUUAUUCUCCUCUAUUCUCGUUUUGUGUUUCUAGCAACGGUUUUUCCGAACACUCCGGCUGCUGGGUAUCUUCAACGUGGUGACAUACUUCUAACUUUGAACGGCAAAGACGCCGGUGGAUUAACACACAAACAGGCCCAGGACGUCUUUCAGUUUGCAGGGGGACAGAUUCCAUUAACAAUCAGAAGACCGAAUAUCGAAGGCAGGAACCCCCCUCCAGCGAAACCACAACAACAUCAGUGUGCCAAAUGAUUGCCUUAAUAACGGUAAUUGCCCUUCGGAAGCCAUAAUGUUUAUGCUAAGGCAAGACCUGAUAAUAACAGCACGUCAAAAUUGUACAUUGGUUUUGACAGAGAGUUCAUUGAAGACUAUUUUCUAUCAACAUAUCCAUUUAUUCAAGAAACUGGAUAGCAAAUUUACAGAAACAGACCUUGAAAACAAAUCGGAUUUUAAAAAGAAACGAGAAGGAGUAAAACGGAAGAGAAGAAUAAAAACGAAAUGCACAUAUUAAACAAAUUAUAUGAUGGUUUGCAUGCCAUAUCUGACAUCAUUGCCAUGCAGCUUUGCUGCAAUUUUCUUGUUUCAAAUACAUAUCCCAGACGUUUGGGAUAACCUUAUAGUUCCUUCUCUAACUAUUGUUAGAUUUUUAACUUAUGUAAUUAUGUUUUACUUUUAUUUGUAUAUGUUUUUCAAUUUUUGAAAUUCUUGUACGUGUAUGUAUACACGUUUAUAUAGGCUUGGUAAUAUAAACUGGGUAAAUAAAACUCAAAAUAUUACAAAACCUACGGAUUUUAAAUUUCGACCGGCAGAAGCACCGAGAGUUUCUUAAAUGACACAAUCUGCAUCACCAAAACGUUUUUAACAUCAUCAAAACAAAUUUUCCAGUCAUAAAACUAAGUGAAAAAUUAAAAAAUAUAACUAAUCAAAUAUUUAUCUUAAGGAAAAGUCAACCACAUAACCUAAAGAAACUAUUAACAAAGGCAAAAUUCAACAUGAACAAACAGGACAAGACAUUCACAAUAUCCAAGUAUAAUGAUAACAGAUGUGGAACGUGUCAAUACAUAUAUACUGGUAGAUCCAUUAGAAUAAAAAAUGGACAGAUUUUUCGCAAAUGCAGAUAUUAACUGCAAAAGCAGAAAUUUGAUCUACUGCAUUGAAUGCCUGAAUUGCGAGGAAAUAUAUAUAGGCGAGACAGGUAAUGCAUUAUCGAAACGCUCACGAGUCCACAGACAACAAAUCCGGAUCACCAAUGUUAGCCAAAUUCCAUUGAACGAACAUAUAAAAACAUGUGGUCAGAAAAUGUUUCUAAUUUUUCCUUUCCACAAACUACAUGACACAAGUAAAGUUGGAAGAAAGACAAAAGGAAAACGGUUUAUUAAAAUGUUCAGACCUGUUCUGAACGGAAAUAACAAUAAUCUAACAACCAGUUAAUGAUGUGGAUUAAAAAAAUAAUUUUAACAUAUGAAUAUAAACAAAUUACAGAAUAUCGGUACGCCUAGCAAACCGUGACGUUUAAGCUGCAUGCGGGUUGGUCAAAACCGUAUUCCAUAGAAUUCAGCUUGUUGGAGCGUUCUAAGAGAUUCUACAGUUUUUAAGAACCCAACUGUCAGUUAAAUACAUUUGAAAUCUGAUGCU